rnacentral:rRNA from 1 species
UACGGAAUGUGCAAACGUUAUUCGGAAUCACUGGGCUUAAAGAGUCCGUAGGCGGCAUGUUAGGUGAGGUGUGAAAUCCCCCGGCUCAACCGAGGAAUUGCGCUUCAUACCGGCGUGCUAGAGGAAGAUAGAGGUGGGCGGAACUGAUGGUGGAGCGGUGAAAUGCGUUGAUAUCAUCAGGAACACCGGAGGCGAAGGCGGCCCACUGGGUCUUUUCUGACGCUGAGGGACGAAAGCUAGGGGAGCGAAUGGG